GACAGUGGAGGGCCAGCGUUGUUCGGAAUUACUGGGUGUAAAGGGUUCGUAGGCGGUGCGGCAAGUUGGGAGUGAAAUCUCUGGGCUUAACCCAGAGGCUGCUUCCGAAACUGCUGUGCUUGAGUGUGGGAGAGGCGCGUGGAAUGCAGGUGUAGCGGUGAAAUGCGUAGAUAUCUGCAGGAACACCCGUGGCGAAAGCGGCGCGCUGGACCACUACUGACGCUGAGGAACGAAAGCUAGGGGAGCAAACAGG
rnacentral:rRNA from 1 species